rnacentral:rRNA from 1 species
AGUGGACGCUGGCGGUAGGCCUAACACAUGCAAGUCGAACGGCAGCACAGUAAGAGCUUGCUCUUACGGGUGGCGAGUGGCGGACGGGUGGGGAAUACAUCGGAAUCUACUUUUUCGUGGGGGAUAACGUAGGGAAACUUACGCUAAUACCGCAUACGACCUACGGGUGAAAGCAGGGGAUCUUCGGACCUUGCGCGAUUGAAUGAGCCGAUGUCGGAUUAGCUAGUUGGCGGGGUAAAGGCCCACCAAGGCGACGCUCCGUAGCUGGUCUGAGAGGAUGAUCAGCCACACUGGAACUGAGACACGGUCCAGACUCCUACGGGAGGCAGCAGUGGGGAAUAUUGGACAAUGGGCGCAAGCCUGAUCCAGCCAUACCGCGUGGGUGAAGAAGGCCUUCGGGUUGUAAAGCCCUUUUGUUGGGAAAGAAAAGCAGCAGGUUAAUACCCCGCUGUUCUGACGGUACCCAAAGAAUAAGCACCGGCUAACUUCGUG